rnacentral:rRNA from 1 species
GUGCCAGCCGCCGCGGUAAUACGUAGGGGGCAAGCGUUGUCCGGAUUUAUUGGGCGUAAAGCGCUCGCAGGCGGUUCGUUGCGUCGUGCGUGAAAGACCCCGGCUCAACUGGGGAGGGUCGUGCGAUACGGGCGAACUUGAGGCCAGUAGGGGGACGCGGAAUUCCGGGUGUAGUGGUGGAAUGCGUAGAGAUCCGGAGGAACACCAGCGGCGAAGGCGGCGUCCUGGACUGGUACUGACGCUCAGGAGCGAAAGCGUGGGGAGCGAUCCGGAUUAGAAACCCCGGUAGUCC